GUGUUGUAUGAAAGGAGAGAAGGUUAGCAUUCCCCUUGACAAGGACAAGGAUGGAAGAGGCUCUCGGGCCUGUACAACAUGCAUACAGUUAAGGCAUUGCCACCUACUUCGUGGCAUCUAACCAUGGUUUAAA